CGGCCUCAUUACGUUGAAACAACGAUUCCCGUUCGAUUACUGAGGUUAAGCAACAUCGAGCCUGGUCAGUACCUAGAUGAGUGACCGCUCUGGAAUACCAGGUGCUGUAA